rnacentral:rRNA from 1 species
UACAGAGGUCUCAAGCGUUGUUCGGAUUCAUUGGGCGUAAAGGGUGCGUAGGCGGCGCGGUAAGUCGGGUGUGAAAUCUCGGAGCUUAACUCCGAAACUGCAUUCGAUACUGCCGUGCUUGAGGACUGGAGAGGAGACUGGAAUUUACGGUGUAGCGGUGGAAUGCGUAGAUAUCAGGAGGAAUACCAGUGGCGAAGGCGGCUUUCUGGGCCUACCCUGACGCUGAGGAGCGAAAGCGUGGGGAGCAAACCGG